rnacentral:rRNA from 1 species
AAUGAACGCUGGCGGCGUGCCUAACACAUGCAAGUUGAGCGGUAAGGCCCCUUCGGGGGUACACGAGCAGCGAACGGGUGAGUAUCGCGUGGGUAAUCUACCUAGAGGUAGGGGAUAGCCUCGGGAAACCGAGGGUAAUACCGCAUAAGUCCUCGACGGCAUAAGUCGACGAGGGGAAAGGCGGGGCUCCUUCGGGACCUGUCGCCUCUGGAUGAGCCCGCGUCCGAUUAGCUAGUUGGUGAGGUAAUGGCUCACCAAGGCAACGAUCGGUAGCCGGCCUGAGAGGGUGAACGGCCACAUUGGGACUGAGACACGGCCCAGACUCCUACGGGAGGUAGCAGUGGGGAAUUUUGGGCAAUGGGGGAAACCCUGACCCAGCGACGCCGCGUGGAGGAUGACGGCCUUCGGGUUGUAAACUCCUGUCAGGUGGGAAGAAGAGCUUGUCGGAUAAUACCCGGCAGGAAUUGACGGUACCACCAAAGGAAGCCCCGGCUAACUCCGUG